rnacentral:rRNA from 1 species
UCUGUUUGAUCCUGGCUCAGGAUGAACGCUGGCGGUAUGCUUAACACAUGCAAGUCGAACGAAAGUUUUUAACUUUAGUGGCGAACGGGUGCGUAAUACGUGAGAAUCUGCCCUUAGGAGAAGAAUAACUACUGGAAACGGUAGCUAAGUCUUCAUAUGCCGAGAGGUGAAAUAGUUUUAACUGCCUAAGGAUGAGCUCACGCCUGAUUAGCUUGUUGGUGAGGUAACGGCUUACCAAGGCCACGAUCAGUAGCUGGUUUGAGAGAACGAUCAGCCACACUGGGACUGAGACACGGCCCAGACUCCUCCGGGAGGCAGCAGUGAGGAAUUUUCCGCAAUGGGCGAAAGCCUGACGGAGCAAUACCGCGUGAGGGAUGAAGGAUUUUGGUCUGUAAACCUCUUUUCUCAAGAAAGAAGUUCUGACGGUACUUGAGGAAUAAGCAUCGGCUAACUCCGUGCCAGCAGCCGCGGUAAUACGGGGGAUGCAAGCGUUAUCCGGAAUCAUUGGGCGUAAAGCGCCUGUAGGUUGUUUAAUAAGUCUGUUGUUAAAGACUAGGGCUUAACCCUAGAAAAGCAAUGGAAACUACUAGACUAGAGUAUGGCAGGGGUAGAGGGAAUUUCUAGUGUAGCGGUGAAAUGCGUAGAUAUUAGAAAGAACACCGGUGGCGAAAGCGCUCUACUGGACCAUUACUGACACUCAGAGGCGAAAGCUAGGGUAGCAAAAGGGAUUAGAUACCCCUGUAGUCCUAGCCGUAAACGAUGGAUACUAGAUGUUGCGCAAUUUGUGCAGUAUCUUAGCUAACGCGUUAAGUAUCCCGCCUGGGGAGUACGCUCGCAAGGGUGAAACUCAAAGGAAUUGACGGGGGCCCGCACAAGCGGUGGAGCAUGUGGUUUAA